UACGUAGGGGCAAGCGUUGUCCGGAAUCAUUGGGCGUAAAGAGCGUGUAGGCGGUCCGGUAAGUCCGUUGUGAAAGUCAGGGGCUCAACCCUUGAAUGCCGGCGGAUACUGCCGGGCUAGAGUCCGGAAGAGGCGAGUAGAAUUCCCGGUGUAGCGGUGAAAUGCGCAGAUAUCGGGAGGAACACCGAUGGCGAAGGCAGCUCGCUGGGACGGUACUGACGCUGAGACGCGAAAGCGUGGGGAGCAAACAGGAUUAGAAACCCCCAGUAGU
rnacentral:rRNA from 1 species